CUCUUCUAAUCUUAGCUUAAUUUCCUAAACCGACACCUUAUUAUGUAGGACACAUGGAGAAGCCUAGACAUCAUUCAUCUCGAGAUCGUGACUACCGCAGCUCUUCUUAUUCAUCGAGAGAUAAAGACCGCAGGAAACAUCAUUCAUAUGCUUGAACUGAGGCCUUCGUUUGUUUUCGGCUGUUCUGCUCCAUGAUGGUAUCAUAAUACUUGUGGGCACAUACAUAUACAAGCAGUUGAAAUGUGAUGCGCAUCCAUUGAGCGAAUGUGGAUAUGCGAGAGGGAGAUUCAUUUUUGUUGGCUGUAUGUAUGACUGAAAAUACAUAAAAAGUUCAGUGACUGUAUUAUUAUUAUUAUUACACAUA